ACGUAGGGGGCAAGCGUUAUCCGGCAUUAUUGAGAGAAAAGAGAGAGGAGGUGGUUUUUUAAGCGUGAGGUGAAAGGCAAUAGCUUAACUAUUGUAAGCCUUGCGAACUGGAAGACUUGAGUGCAGGAGAGGAAAAUGGAAUUCCUAGUGUAGCGGUGAAAUGCGUAGAUAUUAGGAGGAACACCAGUGGCGAAGGCGACUUUCUGGACUGUAACUGACACUGAGGCACGAAAGCGUGGGGAGCAAACAG
rnacentral:rRNA from 1 species